rfam:Vibrio caribbeanicus ATCC BAA-2122 VIBC2010_20, whole genome shotgun sequence.
UCGUCAUAGUCGGGGAGCCUCAAAGAUACAGGCUGAGAUCGUCAAGAGACCCGUUGAACCUGAUUCAGUUAAUACUGGCGUAGGGAACUAUGGAUUUUAGUGU